CCACCACGCGGGACAGUCCCCGCUGCCCGCCCGCCUGUCACGUACCAAAGCGCCCGCCGCCAAGCCGCUCCGCGCCCAGCCGAUCGGUUAUGGAUGAAAAAUUGAUCUCUCAAAGAUUCCCCAGAGAGCAAGAUAGACAUGAAAUACCCUGUUGACCAGAUGACAGACGGGCACCGAUUGACCUGACCUCGUCCACGUCUCCGUCCCUCACAUUACCAGAAAUCAGAAACAUCCCUGUGUUGCUGAACAACUCACCGGAGGAAUUUGAUUUUCACAAGCAAGAAGGUUUGUGGAAUUCUAGCCUCUGAAGGGAUUUCAGGGAAGGGCUGUAAAGUGAUGACGGCUCCACACCUUGGGAGGUCUUACCUUUCCUUGUGAUGGAGGAGGCGUGCGAGGUGUCACCUGCAAAGACACAGGAGAAUGUUCACCAGCGACCCCGAACUUACCCUCAAUUUCACACACUAACUGUCAUCCUUAAAAGAGCCAGCCUGCCUCUACGUUCAGAUUCUCCGCUGUUUCUUCUACCCCCGGGCCCCAGGUUCCAGGGACGUGGAAACCUGCUUCUUAAAGGCAACAACUCCGCCUUUCUUUCUUCCUGCCACAAAGGCGCGUGGUCUCGUGAAUGCACCUUUCAUUUACGGCUCUCGAAAGAAUAUGCCGCCUCAGGGAAUUUGUGAGCGCUUUGCUCGAAUGUCAAGUCCCGGCCGCACAGAGGGUGGGUGUGCUGGCGCACUCCCAGGGCAGGGGGCUCCGCCCUUGCUCACCCAGGGGCCACCCCACGUGCCCUCGGAGGAGGGGGGGCAGGCGACAAACAGCCCCUUUUCCGGGAGCCAAGCGCUCCCAUCAGUUUCACACGCUUCAAUCCAAAGGACCUUUCUAGCACCUAAUACAAUGAGGGCUCUCCUGAUUUAUAAACAGAGCAAAGCGAAAAUAAGAUCAAAACCAAAAAAUAAGCCCACACCCCAGGCUUCUAGGCCGUUGCGGGUAUGUCACUGGGUGUAGAGUGUAUUAUUAUGCUUAACACCUCCAGUGUUUAAAAGUGAACAAAGAAUCCACAGUAAGAUAGGUGAGCUGAGCAAGAUUGCCAGUAAGACCCACUGCAUAUUUUCAGCAAAGAUACUCGACAGGAAUGUAUCCCUAGCCUGUGUUUGUAAUAAGCAACUACGGAUGUGAUCUUGCAUUCGAACUCUAAUGGAUUUCUUUCUUUGGCGUCAAAGGGCAAGGCUGCUCAUUCGAAAAUCUUCUUCACUCAACAUCCAGUAGUGAACAGAAUUGAUACUUCAAAAGUUCUAAAUCAAUUAUUUAAACAUUAUUUUUAUGUUUAAAAAUCCCGUGAAAAUGUUUUGAUUUCUCUGAAUCCUUGAUAACCCAGCAAGACUAGUUUGUGAAGUGGAUGCCUACUUCUGAGGCUGGAAUCUGUUCUUUGAAAAUGUUGAAUAACAUCAGACUUGAUGCAGUCAAGGGUGCACUCUUACAGAAAGGAGGAAGACGUGUAUGUCUGAUAUAUAUUCACUUUGAGAUGCGCUCACAACAGGUGGCAUAAAGGCUUUCACGAUUUGAUUUUAACUUAACCCAUUACCACCGAAAUGAAGCUUGUUUUGUAAUAUACGCUAUCCAGCUGCUUAAUCUCUUCUGCACAGUUUAAAUAUGUUUUUCCUGUUCUGUGGGUUAAGCAGAAUAGUUUGAGGUUUCAAAACUGUCGGCGCUGCAUGCAUACGGGGUGCUUUGCAUAACAGCAAGACUUGAUUAGGCAGUCGGGGUCUGGUGUGGUCUGACAGCUGUGCUUGAUAAAGCGUCUCAAAUUGACAUCAGCGUUCGAGACAGGUCAGAGGACCCACCUUUCAGGGUGAGGGAAGACUGCCCCAAAGCACGGGACACUGACGAAGCCAAUCGGAAAGUGAGUUCUACAAGGACAAAAGGCACAGGGAGUUAUUCACAGGGAGUCCUGCCGGGUGUCACGUGACAGAUCUCAGCUCCCAGCCGGUCCCCGAAAGCUCAACGCUCCUUAACACCACACGAAAGGCGCAGCUGACAUCUGUGUUUCUCUCCAACAAUUUCAGGAUCGUCAGUAAUUUUAAGGACUGCAGUUAGAGACUAAAGCAAAUUCGAGAAACUCCUGAACUCCCAGUACCCCAGCGUUGAUGACGUUACAGGCCCACGAUGACGAGGGCCUCUGCUCCACACUCGACUCAGCGCCCCUCAGAACUUCCCAGAGGCCUUUCAGAGCGGGCACAGGGCACGGCCAGAAGCAAGGCUGCCUCUCAGGUGUCUCGUGAGCACACCCAAUAAAUCAGGGGCCUUUCUGAAACACCUCACCCCUUCCAGAACCACCCAGCUAUCCAACACUCUAAACAUCAGGUGCCGCGCAUGCGACGUAUCUGCUGUCGGAACGCCACUUGGGGAUUAGCUUUUCAGUGACGCAUCAGCCACAGAUGAUCUAUUCACAAUCUAGUCCAGAAGCCACCUUCACAAACCGGACCGCAAGAGGAGCAAUUUUCUCCUGUGGCACAUUUUUACCUACAGAACAUUUAAAUAAUGAAACUUCACAAAUUCUGCAUUCAAAUGAAUGGAAUAACAAACUAACACAGCUUUGAUUCCUAGACGCACUCAUGUAAUGCCUCACACUCAUUUAUUUCCCUGCACAGCUCAGACCAAAGAGAACGUCUGCUCAAGGCGCAUUUAAAUUUCGAGUUUGUUCCAAAGCCCUCAAUCACAUCAUUGUUGCAAAGCAACACGAAGCUGGCGGCACUGGGUCCAGGAAGACGUUGGCAACGGCCCGAUGCGGAGCCCCGAAGCGUGGGCAGAAGCCACGUCAGCCCUAAAGCCCCCAAGCAUAGGACACAAAAGACCACAGUGCCCACGUCCACACCACCCCGGAGACGUGAAUUCAGGACGCUCUCCGUUCCUGGACCACAUCCUGACCGCAUCCCUGGUGAGCAGGGGAGAGAGGGUGGAAAAAUCGAAAGCAGUGACCCAGGCCCCUCCCAGGAGCCCGUAAGCAUCUCCAGCAAGGACAACACGUUUCCCCAGACAGCACAGAGGCUGUACUCCCUCUAACGGCUGAGUUCACCUGCCGAUUCCCUUCCUCUUCCGCUUACACCACCGGGGAGGCACGACCUGCA